UAUUGCUUUCUCUAAAUCUAAAUAGAUGGUAUAUAAGGAACAUGUUAGUCUUCAAUCUAACAAGAAAUAAAAUAUUAAGUGAAAUCUUACACAAUGGCCCUUAACAUCAAUCGAGCAUAUAUUUGUUGGAUGUUGAUCCUUUCUUUGGUUUUGGUUUCAGAAUUAGCAUUUGGUCUGGAUUUUCUGGGAAUAACAUGUGGUGGUAAAUGCAUAAAUCCUGGGGUGUGCAAUCAAGAUUGCAUCAACAGGGGCUAUCACAGAGGUGGUACCUGUUAUGAGAAUGUUUAUUGUUGUUGUUAUACAUGAUGAGUUAUUGUACCUACCAUAAAUUGAAAUAAAUAAAAUGCAUACAUAAAGUAUGUUUAGAGUUCAAA